GCGCGAUUAGUUCAGUGGUUAGAAUACUCGCUUCCCAAGCGAGGGACCCGAGUUCGAAUCUCGGAUCGCGCA
rnacentral:tRNA from 1 species